rnacentral:ncRNA from 1 species
UUAACUGCACAUACGGCUCUCCAUAUUUUAGCCGUAUGAAGCUUUAAGAAGGAGGAAAAGCAGCCCCAGGCUCGGGGUGCGGCAGUGUGGAGACCUGUCGUAAUGCGUGAUAAUGUCACGCGAGUGCAAGCAGGCGGAGGCGGCUUGCAUGGAGCUAAGAAUAUGGCA